GAUGAAGAGCGCAGCGAAAUGCGAUAAGUAAUGUGAAUUGCAGAAUUCAGUGAAUCAUCGAAUCUUUGAACGCACCUUGCACCCUUUGGCAUUCCGAAGGGUAUGCUCGUUUGAGUGUCAUUGUACUCUCACACUCUCCGAUCCUAUGGAUUCGGGGAGCGGUGGACUUGGGUGUUGCUGCCUUUCCUUGUGGCUCACCUCAAAUGUGUCAGUGCACCUCUUGGUUGGACAUAGUACGGCGUGAUAAGUGUCUUCGCCGGCACCUCGCAAGAGGGUGGCCGAUCGGGAGCUCUGUGCUUUCAAACCGUCUUCGGACAAUUUCUGACAACUUGACCUCAAAUCGAGUAGGACUACCCGCUGAACUUAAGCAUAUCAAUAAGCGGAGGA
rnacentral:misc_RNA from 1 species